UUGCAGAUAUCUUGUUGUUCAUCAUCUAUUGUUUCUUCUUUUUCUUUUCCUUCUUCUUCUUCCU
rnacentral:ribozyme from 12 species